UACGGAGGGUGCAAGCGUUAUCCGGAUUCACUGGGUUUAAAGGGUGCGUAGGAGGGCAGGUAAGUCAGUGGUGAGAUCUUCGAGCUUAACUCGGAAACUGCCGUUGAUACUAUCUGUCUUGAAUACCGUGGAGAUGAGCGGAAUAUGUCAUGUAGCGGUGAAAUGCUUAGAUAUGACAUAGAACACCAAUUGCGAAGGCAGCUCGUUACACGAAUAUUGACUCUGAGGCACGAAAGCGUGGGGAUCAAACAGG
rnacentral:rRNA from 1 species